UCUUCACCGGGAUUCCCCGAUAGUGGUGGUUCCUCUGAUUUCUACGGUGGAGCUGCUAGUUUUUCUGGUAGAUCUAUCACACUUCCAUCAUCCAACAUGAACAACAACAAUAUCAUCAACAAUAACAAUAACAAUUAUCUCUAAAAAAAAACAAUAACAAUUAUCUCUCAAACAUAGCCACCAACACACAUAACCUUCAUCAACCUUUCUACCGAACCCAACAACAACAGCUUCCAUCGAUUUUCAUCGAUCCUUCUUCCCAAAUCCA
rnacentral:lncRNA from 1 species